rnacentral:snoRNA from 1 species
AAUCCAUGGUGGGGACACCUUCGUAGUAGGUCCUUAUAUCUCUUACAUGCAUCAUAAAUAGUUUCUAAGUCCAUCUGCACAAACGAAGAGAUAUCAUUUCGAAAUU